AGCUCCUAUGCAGCGGCUGGGCAGAUGGACCUGCGGUGUGGGGCCACAAGGCCCGAGAGGCCUGGGCCUCUCCCAGCCACCGUGGACCCUCUGGCAGCUUGAGCAGGUGGAUCCCAGAUGCUGCUAGGCCUCAGCUCCUGCACAGCCAGGCCACGCUGGGGCCUCCUGGGCUGGAAGCAUGGAAGGAAGGCAGUGUCUGUAACCAGCCCCAAAAUCUUCCCACUGAUUCUGGGGAGCAGCGAGCCUGAGGGAAAUGUGGUCAUCGCCUGCCUGGUCCGGGACUUCUUCCCGUCAGAGCCCCUGACGGUGACCUGGAGCCCUAGUCGCGAGGGCGUUAUUGUCAGAAACUUCCCCCCUGCGCAGGCCGGGGGCCUGUACACCAUGAGCAGCCAGCUGACCUUGCCAGUCAAGCAGUGCCCAGCCGAUCAGAUCCUGAAGUGCCAAGUGCAGCACCUCUCCAAACCCAUCCAGUCCGUGAACGUGCCCUGCAAAGGUCCGUGCCCCCCUCCCAUAACCUGCGGGCCCAGCCUGUCCCUGCAGCGACCAGCCCUUGCGGACCUGCUCCUGGGCUCCAAUGCCAGCCUCACGUGCACACUCAGUGGCCUGAAAAAACCCGAGGGUGUCAGCUUCACCUGGAAGCCCUCAGGUGGGAAGGAUGCCGUCCAGGUGUCCCCCAAGCGUGAUUCCUGUGGCUGCUACAGCGUGUCCAGCAUCCUGCCAGGCUGUGCUGAUCCUUGGAACAAAGGAGAGACAUUCUCCUGCACCGCCGCCCACUCUGAGUUGAAGAGCGCGCUAACCGCCACCAUCACCAAACCCAAAGUGAACACGUUCCGGCCCCAGGUCCACCUGCUGCCGCCGCCGUCGGAAGAGCUGGCCCUCAAUGAGCUGGUGACACUGACAUGCCUGGUGCGGGGCUUCAGCCCCAAGGAUGUGCUGGUGCGAUGGCUGCAAGGGGGCCAGGAGCUGCCUCGUGACAAGUACCUCGUCUGGGAAUCCCUGCCGGAGCCUGGCCAGGCCAUCCCCACCUACGCCGUGACCAGCGUGCUGCGCGUGGACGCCGAGGACUGGAAGCAGGGAGACACCUUCUCCUGCAUGGUGGGCCACGAGGCCCUGCCCCUGGCCUUCACCCAGAAGACCAUCGACCGCCUGGCGGGUAAACCCACCCACGUCAACGUGUCCGUGGUCAUGGCGGAGGCAGAGGGCAUCUGCUACUGAGCCGCCCCGCCCACUCGCCCCUCGAAUAAACUCCGUGCUCGCUUGAA